GCUGGGCUCAGUGGCCCACGCCUGUAAUCCCAGCAGUUUAGGAGGCUGAGGCAGGAGGAUUGACAGUUCAAAGCCAGCCUCAGUAAAAAAAGUGAGAUGCUAAACAACUCAGUGAGACCCUGUCUCUA
rnacentral:sRNA from 1 species